AUGAACGCUAGCGGCAGCCUAACACAUGCAAGUCGAGGGGCAGCACAGGUAGCAAUACGUGGUGGCGACCGGCGGAUGGGUGCGUAACGCGUAUGCAACCUACCAUUGAUUGGGGCAUAGCCCGAAGAAAUUCGGAUUAAUACUCCAUAAUAUUCAUCAAAGGCAUCUUUUAUGAAUUAAAGCUUUUGCGAUCAAUGAUGGGCAUGCGUGACAUUAGUUAGUUGGUGAGGUAACGGCUCACCAAAACGAUGAUGUCUAGGGGUUCUGAGAGGAUUAUCCCCCACACUGGUACUGAGACACGGACCAGACUCCUACGGGAGGCAGCAGUGAGGAAUAUUGGUCAAUGGACGCAAGUCUGAACCAGCCAUGCCGCGUGCAGGAUGACGGCCCUAUGGGUUGUAAACUGCUUUUCCACGGGAAGAACCCUCCGACGUGUCGGAGACUGACGGUACCGUGGGAAUAAGCAUCGGCUAACUCCGUG
rnacentral:rRNA from 1 species